CCACAACGCGAACGCGAUGGUCCACCUCCCUGGCCUACGCAAACACGUCGCCUCUUCACGCGAACGCAAUCAACAAGGUUCCACAGCUACGCGAUCGCGUGCCUCACCUUCGCGAACGCGAAGGCAAAAUCCCAGGCUCCCUCAAAUUGCUUUACGCGUAGCUCCUCACGCGAACGUGAUGAACAAAAACUUGCAACACCCAACAGCAAAAAUCUGCUAUCUCCCAAGGCCAAAACUAGUCCGUUUGAACACUCGAAACCACCCCAAGGCUAUCCCCAACCAAAUGCACAG
rnacentral:lncRNA from 1 species